GAUGAACGCUAGCGGCAGGCCUAAUACAUGCAAGUCGAACGGUGUCUUCGGACAUAGUGGCGCACGGGUGCGUAACACGUAUGCAACCUACCUUACAUUGGGGGAUAGCCUUUCGAAAGGGAGAUUAAUACCGCAUAAGACAGUAGCUGGGCAUCCAGCAGCUGUUAAAGAUUUAUCGAUGUAAGUUGGGCAUGCGUCCAAUUAGCUAGUUGGUGAGGUAACGGCUCACCAAGGCAAUGAUUGGUAGGGGAACUGAGAGGUCAACCCCCCACACUGGCACUGAGAUACGGGCCAGACUCCUACGGGAGGCAGCAGUAGGGAAUAUUGGGCAAUGGACGCAAGUCUGACCCAGCCAUGCCGCGUGCAGGAUGAAGGCGUUAUGCGUUGUAAACUGCUUUUAUACAGGAAGAAACGACUCUUGCGAGAGGCAUUGACGGUACUGUAUGAAUAAGCACCGGCUAACUCCGUGCCAGCAGCCGCCGUAAGAC
rnacentral:rRNA from 1 species